rnacentral:rRNA from 1 species
CGUGGAUAACCUACCUAUAAGACUGGGAGUAACUUCGGUUAAACCGGAAGCUAAUACCGGAUAAUAUAUUGAACCGCAUGGUUCAAUAGUGAAAGAACGGUUUUGUCUGUCACUUAUAGAUGGAUCCGCGCCGCAUUAGCUAGUUGGUAAGGUAACGGCUUACCAAGGCAACGAUGCGUAGCCGACCUGAGAGGGUGAUCGGCCACACUGGAACUGAGACACGGUCCAGACUCCUACGGGAGGCAGCAGCC